rnacentral:rRNA from 1 species
CCUACGGGAGGCUGCAGUAGGGAAUUUUCCACAAUGGGCGAAAGCCUGAUGGAGCAACGCCGCGUGGGUGAAGAAGGUCUUCGGAUCGUAAAACCCUGUUGUUAGAGAAGAAAGUGCGUGAGAGUAACUGUUCACGUUUCGACGGUAUCUAACCAGAAAGCCACGGCUAACUACGUGCCAGCAGCCGCGGUAAUACGUAGGUGGCAAGCGUUAUCCGGAUUUAUUGGGUUUAAAGGGAGCGUAGAUGGGUUGUUAAGUCAGUUGUGAAAGUUUGCGGCUCAACCGUAAAAUUGCAAUUGAUACUGGCAGUCUUGAGUGCAGAAGAGGAGAGUGGAACUCCAUGUGUAGCGGUGAAAUGCGUAGAUAUAUGGAAGAACACCAGUGGCGAAAGCGGCUCUCUGGUCUGUAACUGACGCUGAGGUUCGAAAGCGUGGGUAGCAAACAGGAUUAGAUACCCUAGUAGUC